rnacentral:misc_RNA from 1 species
UUAACUAUUAUCAAGUACUCAGACAACACUAAAUCAAGAGUUUGAGAUCCUCUGGCAGACGCUGACCAGCCGAAGCCAGCGGCCCGAAGGCGGGCCUGCCAAAGCAACAAAGGUAUGGUAAACAAAGGGUGGGAGAUCUACCCCAAAGGGCAAGUUCUCGGUAAUGAUCCUUCCGCAGGUUCACCUACGGAAA